rnacentral:tRNA from 1 species
GGGCGUUUAGCUCAGCUGGUUAGAGCAUCUCCUUUACACGGAGAGGGUCUGGGGUUCAAAUCCUCAAACGCCCA